CCUACGGGAGGCAGCAGUAGGGAAUUUUCCGCAAUGGGCGAAAGCCUGACGGAGCAAUACCGCGUGAGGGAUGACGGCCUGUGGGUUGUAAACCUCUUUUCUCAAGGAAGAAGUUCUGACGGUACUUGAGGAAUAAGCAUCGGCUAACUCUGUGCCAGCAGCCGCGGUAAUACAGAGGAUGCAAGCGUUAUCCGGAAUCACUGGGCAUAAAGCGUCUGUAGGUUGUUUAGUAAGUCUGCUGUUAAAGACUGGGGCUUAACCCCAGAAAAGCAGUGGAAACUGCUAGACUCGAGUGUGGUAGAGGUAGAGGGAAUUCCUAGUGCAGCGGUGAAAUGCGUAGAUAUUAGGAAGAACACCAAUGGCGAAGGCACUCUACUGGGCCAUAACUGACACUGAGAGACGACAGCUAGGGGAGCAAACGGGAUUAGAUACCCCGGUAGUCCUAGCCGUAAACGAUGGAUACUAGAUGUUGCACGUAUUAACCCGUGCAGUAUCGUAGCUAAGGCGUUAAGUAUCCCGCCUGGGAAGUACGCUCGCAAGAGAGAACUCAAGAGUAGACGACGCGAGAGACGCGACGACGACGACGAGGAGGAGGAG
rnacentral:rRNA from 1 species